rnacentral:lncRNA from 1 species
UUAUAGGCGAGCUAUUCAAACGGGACACACGAAUUUUGUGUUGUUUCCUUUGCCGCGGCCGAAUCAUGUUUGUUUCAUUCACGUCCACGAGGAGUUUAUUCAUUCUUCAUUCGCGUUUCAUUCGCUGCUGCUGCCGCUGCUGCUGUCGCUGCUGCUGUCGGUGCUGUCUCUGCCGUGGUGUGCUUCGUUUUGGUGGUGGGUUUUGUUUUUGUAGCUGUGUCGCCGACUGCUGCUGCUGCCGCUGCUUCGUUCGCUGACGCUGCUUCUGCCAUGGUGUGCUGCGUUUGGUGGU